GCACCUCAGCAACCCGGUCAAUCAUGUGAAGUGUUUGAUGCGGGCAUAGAUGGUGCUACAGAGAUUCAAUGUAAAUCCAGAUGGACCUCCUCUUCCCGUGGAGCCUGUCUCUACAACUUUGACACACAA
rnacentral:snoRNA from 1 species